AGUGAACGCUGGCGGCAGGCCUAACACAUGCAAGUCGAACGGCAGCACGGCAGUAGCAAUACUGUGGGUGGCGAGUGGCGGACGGGUGAGGAAUACAUCGGGAUCUACCCUGUUGUGGGGGAUAACGUAGGGAAACUUACGCUAAUACCGCAUAAGAACUGAGGUUGAAAGCGGCGGACCGCAAGGCGUCGCGCGAUUGGAUGAACCGAUGUCCGAUUAGCUAGUUGGCGGGGCAAAGGCCCACCAAGGCGACGAUCGGUAGCUGGUCUGAGAGGACGACCAGCCACACUGGAACUGAGACACGGUCCAGACUCCUACGGGAGGCAGCAGUGGGGAAUAUUGGACAAUGGGCGCAAGCCUGAUCCAGCCAUGCCGCGUGGGUGAAGAAGGCCUCGGUUGUAAGACCUUUCGUCCGGUAACGAAAGACAUUCGGUUAAUACCGGUAGUUCGUGACGGUACCGGAAGAAGUAAGACACCGGC
rnacentral:rRNA from 1 species